GGGCAUGGCGGGCAGCUUACCAUGGCAGUCGAACGGCAGCACGGACUUCGGUGUGGUGGCGAGUGGCGAACGGGUGAGUAAUGUAUCGGAACGUGCCUAUGAGCGGGGGAUGACUACGCGAAAGGGUAGCUGAUACCGCAUACGCCCUACGGGGGAAAGCAGGGGAUCGGAAGACCUUGCACUAUUAGAGCGGCCGAUAUCGGAUUAGCUAGUUGGUGGGGUAGCGGCUCACCCAGGCGACGAUCCGUAUCUGGUUUGAGAGGACGACCAGCCACACUGGGACUGAGACACGGCCCAGACUCCUACGGGAGGCAGCAGUGGGGAAGUUUGGACAAUGGGGGAGACCCUGAUCCAGCCAUCCCGCGUGUGCGAGGAAGGCCUUCGGGUUGUAAAGCACUU
rnacentral:rRNA from 1 species